UACGGGGGGGGCAAGCGUUUGUUCGGAAUUACUGGGCGUAAAGGGCGCGUAGGCGGCCUGCUAAGUCGGAUGUGAAAUCCCUCGGCUCAACCGAGGAACUGCAUCCGAUACUGGCGGGCUUGAAUCCGGGAGAGGGAUGUGGAAUUCCAGGUGUAGCGGUGAAAUGCGUAGAUAUCUGGAGGAACACCGGUGGCGAAGGCGGCAUCCUGGACCGGUAUUGACGCUGAGGCGCGAAAGCUAGGGGAGCAAACGGG
rnacentral:rRNA from 1 species